UGAGAAUACAAAUAGUGAUGUUGUAAACGAAUUUGAAAUCUUGACUGUGAUAACACUGAAACGGAGUUAGGAUUCAAGCCGACCCUCGUGUUUCCGGAACACAGAGUAAAGAAAAGGAAAAGAAAAGGAACAGGAAUUCAUUAAUACAGAAAACGCUCAUGGAUGUCAGAGGUCAAGGGCACAGACGAGAGGAGUUUCAGCAACAGGAGAAAAAGGACAUGUGAAGAAAAGAAUAAGUGGAGACUUUAGGACAUGGAAAAAGGAGGUGUGACAGUAAAACUUAUGCAAGAAGGCAAAUAGAAACUGAAACAAAAAAUGAUUGCAGUGUCUGAUUCAAGUAUGGGGGUGGGUGAUGUGUCCAACUGUCUGGGCCAGAUUAAUGCUCAUGUUUUUUUUCUUUUCAUUUUUCAUUGCUAUGUCUUCAUUUUCACUUGGUUAGC